AGAUGGAUCAUUCAUAAAUUUAUUUACAAACAGUGGUGAAUUAUCGGUGAGCUACACGAAAUGAUCGAAACUGGUGUCCCAUCAUAAUCAAAAAACGUUGUUAAACUUACAAUUUUCAGCGAUGGAUGUCUUGGGUCCCGUAACGAUGAAGGGCGCAGCUAGAUGCGAUAUGCAGUUUGACUUGCAAACUUCAGUGAAACAUUAGAUACUUGAACGUAAAAGGUACUUCUGAACUCUGUUCAGAAGUAUGCUCACUUCAGUGCUUCAUAUUACUGUUGUAGUAACAAUUGUUGCUCAACGUGUAUAGUUGCUGUUAUGAAAACGGUGGCUUAAGUAGAAUGGUAAUUGACUUUAGGUAGAAACAAAGAGUUUUUGCUACUGUUUUUAUAGAAGCCUGAGUUUGAGUCAGAGUACCCGCUGAACUUAAGCAUAUUAUUAAGCGGAGGAAAAGAAACUAACUAGGAUUUCCUCAGUAACUGCGAGUGAACAGGAAAGUGCUCAAACUGAAAAUUGGCAAUUAUUUGUCGAAUUGUAGUUUCAUGAAGUGCAGCUUGUGAUUGCUCUGGGCUAAGUCUCUUGGAAAAGAGUACUAGUAAGGGUGAAAGUCCCGUUUUUACUCAGAAUCAAUUACGUUAAGUGCAUUUUCAAAGAGUCGCGUUCUUUGAGAUUAGAGCGCUAAGUCGGUGAUAAAUUUCAUCUAAAGCUAAAUAUUAACGGGGUCCCGAUAGUGUACAAGUACCGUGAGGGAAAGACGAAAAGGACUUUGAAAAGAGAGUUAAAAGGAACUGAAAUCGCUGUAAAGGAAGUGGAGAGUUUUAGCAUUCCAACGAACCUUGGUGCCAAGGUAGUUUAGCUGCUUUUGGUGCUAUAGUUUUGAGGUGACUGUGGAAGAGAUUAUUCUCCCUGGUUAAAGUGCCAAUGUGUUUCCUUUUAGGUUUCACUUUUGUACUGUCCUUGGUUUGAGUAAUUUUUUUACUAAUGUGGCCUUUGUGGUUGCAUUAUAAUAUUCCGCAGCUUGUUGUUUCUCUCCGUCCCGUCUUGAAACACGGACCAAGGAGUCUACCUUCUGUGCAAGUGCAAUGGUGGCAAACCAAUGCGCGAAAUUAAAGUAAUUAUCGAGAAGGGCAACCGUAAUUGAGUCCCGGUUAAAAGCUGAGGCUGAGCAUAGAGAGUAGGACCCGAAAGAUGGUGAACUAUGCCUGAGUAGGGUGAAGCUAGAGGAAACUCUGGUGGAAGCUCGCAGCGAUACUGACGUGCAAAUCGUUCGUCAAACUUGGGUAUAGGGGCGAAAGACUAAUCGAACUAUCUAGUAGCUGGUUCCCUC
rnacentral:misc_RNA from 1 species